GUGAAUGUCCUUGUCAUUCUCUUUAAUUUGAAGAGUAACAAGCAUUUAUUGAAAUACAAGAAAUCUAAGCACUAUCAAUCAUUACUGUUCUCGCUAGAUUACUAUAAAUCUCACGGCUAUUAUAAAUGCAUUAUUCAGAAAAUGGUCCACCUUAAACAGACUAAUAUCAUGUUCAACAGAAGAAAUUCAACUAUUAUUACUUAUUUAGUUUCCAGGCCUUUGAAAGACACGGCAUGUCUCAGAAAAUCACAUAAUGUAGAAAGGAAACUAAUAAGGUUACAAUCAUUAUUAUUAUGUGAAACUAUACUCAAACAAGGGUAA